UACGGAGGGUGCAAGCAUUAAUCGGAAUUAUUGGGCGUAAAGGGCGCGUAGGCGGCCUCUGCAAGUCAGUUGUGAAAUCUCCGGGCUUAACCCGGAAAGGUCAACUGAUACUGCAGGGCUAGAGUGCAGAAGGGGCAACUGGAAUUCUCGGUGUAGCGGUGAAAUGCGUAGAUAUCGAGAGGAACACCUGCGGCGAAGGCGGGUUGCUGGGCUGACACUGACGCUGAAGCGCGAAAGCUAGGGGAGCGAACGGG
rnacentral:rRNA from 1 species